AAAGGAAUAGACGGGGGCCCGCACAAGCGGCGGAGCAUGUUGCUUAAUUCGAGGCAACGCGAAGAACCUUACCUAGGUUGAACUACGCAGGAACAGCCACAGAGAUGUGGUGUCCUUCGGGGCCUGCGAUAGGUGGUGCAUGGCUGUCGUCAGCUCGUGUCGUGAGAUGUUGGGUUAAGUCCCGCAACGAGCGCAACCCUUAUCCUAUGUUGCCAGCGCGUAAUGGCGGGGACUCGUGGGAGACUGCCGGGGUCAACUCGGAGGAAGGUGGGGACGACGUCAAGUCAUCAUGCCCCUUAUGUCUAGGGCUGCAAACAUGCUACAAUGGCUGGUACAAAGGGCUGCGAAACCGCGAGGUCGAGCGAAUCCCAAAAAGCCAGUCUCAGUUCGGAUUGAAGUCUGCAACUCGACUUCAUGAAGCUGGAGUCGCUAGUAAUCCCGGAUCAGCAACGCCGGGGUGAAUACGUUCCCGGGCCUUGUACACACCGCCCGU
rnacentral:rRNA from 1 species